AUGAAUGGGGGGAAAAGCCACAACUGGAUGAUAGCAAGCCUGGGCUUACGUUGGGAAAAAGAGCGAUGCCUAUUCAUGUUCAUGUACGAAGUGAGCCUGGAGAAAGGAAAGAAUAGUUACUUCCUGGGAGGAGGCGUAGGUGAUAGGAAGCUAAUCAAGGACAGGCUGAGGAUUCGAACAGCUUUAAGAGAGAAGAGUAAGGGGACCUUCAAGGAAGAAGUGAGAUAA